GACGAACGCUGGCGGCGUGCCUAAUACAUGCAAGUCGAGCGGACGUUUUUGAAGCUUGCUUCAGAAACGUUAGCGGCGGACGGGUGAGUAACACGUGGGCAACCUACCUUAUCGACUGGGAUAACUCCGGGAAACCGGGGCUAAUACCGGAUAAUAUCUAGCACCUCCUGGUGCCGGAUUAAAAGAGGGCUUCUUGCUCUCACGAUGAGAUGGGCCCGCGGCGCAUUAGCUAGUUGGAGAGGUAACGGCUCCCCAAGGCAACGAUGCGUAGCCGACCUGAGAGGGUGAUCGGCCACACUGGGACUGAGACACGGCCCAGACUCCUACGGGAGGCAGCAGUAGGGAAUCUUCCGCAAUGGACGAAAGUCUGACGGAGCAACGCCGCGUGAGUGAUGAAGGGUUUCGGCUCGUAAAGCUCUGUUAUGAGGGAAGAACACGUACCGUUCGAAUAGGGCGGUACCUUAACGGUACCUCAUCAGAAAGCCACGGCUAACUACGUGCCAGCCGCCGCCGUAA
rnacentral:rRNA from 1 species